CAAAGCCGUGCCGGGGUGCUAUACAUGCAAGUCGAGCGAACAGACGAGGAGCUUGCUCCUUUGACGUUAGCGGCGGACGGGUGAGUAACACGUAGGUAACCUACCUAUAAGACUGGGAUAACUUCGGGAAACCGGAGCUAAUACCGGAUAAUAUUUCGAACCGCAUGGUUCGAUAGUGAAAGAUGGCUUUGCUAUCACUUAUAGAUGGACCUGCGCCGUAUUAGCUAGUUGGUAAGGUAACGGCUUACCAAGGCAACGAUACGUAGCCGACCUGAGAGGGUGAUCGGCCACACUGGAACUGAGACACGGUCCAGACUCCUACGGGAGGCAGCAGUAGGGAAUCUUCCGCAAUGGGCGAAAGCCUGACGGAGCAACGCCGCGUGAGUGAUGAAGGUCUUCGGAUCGUAAAACUCUGUUAUUAGGGAAGAACAAACGUGUAAGUAACUGUGCACGUCUUGACGGUACCUAAUCAGAAAGCCACGGCUAACUACGUGCCAGCAGCCGCGGUAAUACGUAGGUGGCAAGCGUUAUCCGGAAUUAUUGGGCGUAAAGCGCGCGUAGGCGGUUUUUUAAGUCUGAUGUGAAAGCCCACGGCUCAACCGUGGAGGGUCAUUGGAAACUGGAAAACUUGAGUGCAGAAGAGGAAAGUGGAAUUCCAUGUGUAGCGGUGAAAUGCGCAGAGAUAUGGAGGAACACCAGUGGCGAAGGCGACUUUCUGGUCUGUAACUGACGCUGAUGUGCGAAAGCGUGGGGAUCAAACAGGAUUAGAUACCCUGGUAGUCCACGCCGUAAACGAUGAGUGCUAAGUGUUAGGGGGUUUCCGCCCCUUAGUGCUGCAGCUAACGCAUUAAGCACUCCGCCUGGGGGAGUACGACCGCAAGGUUGAAACUCAAGGAAUUGACGGGGACCCGCACAAGCGGUGGAGCAUGUGGUUUAAUUCGAAGCAACGCGAAGAACCUUACCAAAUCUUGAACAUCCUUUGACCCUUCUAGAGAUAGAAGUUUCCCCUUCGGGGAAAAAGUGACAAGUGGUGCAUGGAUGUCGUCAGCUCGUGUCGUGGAGAUGUUGGUAAAGUCCGCACGAGCGCAACCUUAAGCCUAGUGCAAUCAUAAGUGGCACUCUAGGUGACUGCGUGACAACGAGGAGGUGGGAUGACGUCAUCAUUCAUGUCCGUAGAUGGCUACCACUGUGCUACAAUGGACAUACCAAGUUCAGGCUAAACCGCCGAUG
rnacentral:rRNA from 1 species